rnacentral:rRNA from 1 species
GACGAACGCUGGCGGCGUGCUUAACACAUGCAAGUCGAACGGAAAGGCCCUGCUUUUGUGGGGUGCUCGAGUGGCGAACGGGUGAGUAACACGUGAGUAACCUGCCCUUGACUUUGGGAUAACUUCAGGAAACUGGGGCUAAUACCGGAUAGGAGCUCCUGCUGCAUGGUGGGGGUUGGAAAGUUUCGGCGGUUGGGGAUGGACUCGCGGCUUAUCAGCUUGUUGGUGGGGUAGUGGCUUACCAAGGCUUUGACGGGUAGCCGGCCUGAGAGGGUGACCGGCCACAUUGGGACUGAGAUACGGCCCAGACUCCUACGGGAGGCAGCAGUGGGGAAUAUUGCACAAUGGGCGGAAGUCUGAUGCAGCAACGCCGCGUGCGGGAUGACGGCCUUCGGGUUGUAAACCGCUUUCGCCUGUGACGAAGCGUGAGUGACGGUAAUGGGUAAAGAAGCACCGGCUAACUACGCG